rnacentral:lncRNA from 1 species
UGCAGAUGGUUGUUUUGGGUAAGGGAGUGGAUUGGUCGAAGGUGGUGUAGGCUGCAUAAGUGAAUGUGUUGUUCAACUGGCUUUGUCGAGAGUGGGAGCAAGAGAUGAUCGUUGGUGUAUGGGAAAUGAGGCUGCGUUAGUGUUGCAAGAAAAAGGAAAUGAGACCACAUGAAGAUGGUGGGAUUUGAAGGCUAUACCUCCUGGCUAGAAACUGUCCGGUCAGGAUAUGGGGAAAGAGCUAGAGGACAAGAUCGCAAGGGGUGAGGUGGUGCUAACCAGGCAGAAGAGGGGAGCACCUCCGGCAAGAUUUUUCUCUCCAGGAAACCUUCGACUCUUUCUUUCUCAACAUUUUUUCUCAAGUCCCCUAAACCCUCCCUUCUUGCAAAUUGAUCCUCAAGCGCAACUCUUUCCUCCAACGUAGUCCCUCGAUGAAAAACCUUAAUGGCCACAAUCAGAUCACCGUACCUAGAGACACAACAAACAUUUUCUUGUCUUGCUUGCUGGUACAAUUGUUUUUCCUAACAUGUGUUCUGCUUGGUUCUUAUUUUCCUUAUUUUAGGUAUCUGAUUUGCCUUUGGUUUACUAGCAGCAAGUUCAGUGUCCCCCCUUAGUACAAUGCAUAAUUCAUUUUGUACUCUUUCUUUAUUUUAUUUUGUUCAUUCAUGUCC